rnacentral:rRNA from 1 species
GGUCUGAUUAUGGCUCAGAUUGAACGCUGGCGUGGAUGCUUGCUACAUGUGCAAGUCGAAUCAAGCAGCACGGACUUCGGUCUGGUGGCGAGUGGCGAACGGGUGAGUAAUGUAUCGGAACGUGCCUAGUAGCGGGGGAUAACUACGCGAAAAGCGUAGCUAAUACCGCAUACUGCCCUUCGGGGAAAGCGGGGACCUCGGGCCUCGCACCUUAUUAGGAGCGGCCGAUAUCGGAUUGAGCUAGUUGCGGGGUAACGGCUCACCAAGGCGACGAUCCGUAGCUGGCUCGAGUAGUGGACGACUCAGCCACAUUGGGACUGAGACACGGCCCAGACUAAUGGGAGGCAGCAGUGGGGAAUUUUGGACAAUGGGGGAAACCCUGAUCCAGCCAUCCUGCGUGUGCGAUGAAGGCCUUCGGGUUGUAAAGCACUUUGGCAGGAAAGAAACGAUGGCACGGGAUAAUACCCUGUGCAACUGACGGUACCUGCAGAAUAAGCACUGGCUAACUACGCGCCAGCAGCCGCGGCAAUACGUAGGGUGCAAGCGUUAAUCGGAAUUACAUUGGGCGUAGCGUGCGCAGGCGGUUCGAAAGAAAGACGUGAAAUCCCAGAGCUUAACUUUGGAACGGCAUUUUUAACUACCGAGCUAGGAGUGUGUCAGAGGGGAGUGUGGAAUUCCGCGUGUAGCAGGAAAUGCGUAGAUAUGGUGGAGGAACACUGAUGGCGAAGGCAGCCUCCCGGGAUAACACUGACGCUCAUGCACGAAAGCGUGGGGAGCAAAUGAUUAGGAUACCCGGUAGUCCACGCCUCUAAACGAUGUCAACUAGCUGUUGGGGCUUUCGGGUUCUUGGUAGCGCAGCUUAACGGGUGUGAAGUGACCGCCCGGGGAGUACGGUCGCAAGAUUAAAACUCAGUUGAAAUUGACGGGGACCCGCAUACGCUGCGGAUGAUGUGGAUUAAUUCGAUGCAACGCGAAAAACCUUACUCUACCCUUGACAUGUUCGGAAUCCCGAAGAGAUUUGGGAGUGCUCGCAAGAGAACCGGAACACAGGUGCUGUAUGGUUUGUCGUCAGCUCGUGUCGUGAGAUGCUGGGUUAAGUCCUGCAACGAGCGCAACCCUUGUCAUUAGUUGCUACGAAAGUUAAAACGAUGAUCGCCGGUGACAAAACUGGAGGAAGGUGGGACAGACGUCAAGUCCCUCAUGUUCUGGCGGUAGGGCUUCACACGUCAUACAAUGGUCGGGACAGAGGGUCGCUAACCCGCGAGGGGGAGCUAACUCUGGUGAAACCCGAUCGUAGUCCGGAUCGCAGUCUGCAACUCGACUGCGUGAAGCCGGAAUCGCUAGUAAUCGCGGAUCAGUAUGUCGCGGUGAAUACGUUCCUGGGUCUUGUACACCGCCCGUCACACCAUGGAGUGGGUUUUACCAGAAGUAGUUAGCCUAACCGUAAGGAGGGUGAUUACCACUUGUAGGGAUUCAUGAUCAGGGUGAAGUCGUAACAAGGUAG